GAAAACGGGUUUGGUAAUCAAACCACGUUUAUACUAAAAGACGGGUAAAUUACCUUUAGUGGUAAAAGUAACCCGGCGAAUAUUAGGAUUCUUAAAUAAACAAGAACUUACUAACUAGGAAUUUUAACCUAGUUAGCUAAUAUUCUAGAAGUAACUUAUGAUAGGGUUAAAAACAACCAAAACUAUAUGUCAAACAAAAGAUGAGGGGCCUAAGUUGUAAGAAAUUGAAAUUAUAUUACUAAUUUUAAUAAAAAUCAAAACCAAACACCCAUUAAGGAUGUCUGGUCGUACAGGAAAGGGCAGGGGCGACUCCCCACUCUUCAAAACCCUAGAACUUCACUAAUCUUGCAAAUUGAAGGUCCAAUUCAGUCCAAAAUCGAAAUUUAAGCAUGGAUUAUUAAUCCUCAUCACAAGAGGAUUAAAACUUUGAUCUCGUCAAGCUAAGUGGGAGCUGGAAAGGAAUGGAUCAAACGGAUCAUGGAUGCGAAGAAUGUAUGCGCGGACGCGAGGGUAAAACGGCUUAUGGAAUUUACGUGGCUAUGAAUCAGCAAAUUAUUAAGGCAAGGUAUUAAAACGGGUCAAUACUUUGACCCGCGCCAGGUUCAUUUUGGAUGCCGAGAGACGAUCAAGCUCAUCGAAGAACCGAACACGAUAUAGUUACAUGCUUCCGCACUUUGCCACGUUGUAUAUUUUAAACAACGAAUUCGAUCACGUUUUGUAGAAUAACUUAUGAAUUGUAAAAGUUUUAAUUUACUCGAAAUUUUCUAAGGAUACUUAACCUCAAAUACAUGUUUGUUUUCGUAAAUUAUACGAAAACCUUUAAAAUAAUAACUAGGGUGUUACAAGUUGGUAAUCAGAGCUCAUGGUUAAAGAUUAAAGUGUGUUCGGUUCGAGGCUUGAUCGCAAACCCGGUAAGUACAUGUAUAUUAAUGGUUUGGUAUGUGUUGAAAUGUUGUGAACAACACAUAGGGUUAUCGUGUGAUACACGUUACCUCAAUUAAAUGAUAAAUAUAGUUGAGAAAAUUGCGCGCGUUGACGUGUAUAGUAGAAAAGCCUUGUAUUAUAAUACGGGCGAUUAUUGAAGUUGAUAUUACUAAUUCUUGUAAAUGUUUUAAUUGAAGGACACUCGCAUCUGAAGAUAGCGGGAGUUUAACAAAUUGCGGAUAUGAUGAUGGAACGGUCCGAGAUGUGACAAGAAGAGCAUACUCAUCAAGGACCUAAAUCGCGUAACGAUCGCAAAUAAGUAAUGGCAAGGAAUGCCCGUCGGGGCAAGCAUUACCAGUUUGAUCUCGUCAAGCUAAGUGGGAGCUGGAAAGGAAUGGAUCAAACGGAUCAUGGAUGCGAAGAAUGUUUGCGCGGACGCGAGGGUAAAACGGCUUAUGGAAUUUACGUGGCUAUGAAUCAGCAAAUUAUUAAGGCAAGGUAUUAAAACGGGUCAAUACUUUGACCCGCGCCAGGUUCAUUUUGGAUGCCGAGAGACGAUCAAGCUCAUCGAAGAACCGAACACGAUAUAGUUACAUGCUUCCGCACUUUGCCACGUUGUAUAUUUUAAACAACGAAUUCGAUCACGUUUUGUAGAAUAACUUAUGAAUUGUAAAAGUUUUAAUUUACUCGAAAUUUUCUAAGGAUACUUAACCUUAAAUACAUGUUUGUUUUCGUAAAUUAUACGAAAACCUUUAAAAUAA